rnacentral:rRNA from 1 species
AGUGAACGCUGGCGGUAGGCCUAACACAUGCAAGUCGAACGGCAGCACAGUAAGAGCUUGCUCUUACGGGUGGCGAGUGGCGGACGGGUGAGGAAUACAUCGGAAUCUACUUUUUCGUGGGGGAUAACGUAGGGAAACUUACGCUAAUACCGCAUACGACCUACGGGUGAAAGCAGGGGAUCUUCGGACCUUGCGCGAGUGAAUGAGCCGAUGUCGGAUUAGCUAGUUGGCGGGGUAAAGGCCCACCAAGGCGACGAUCCGUAGCUGGUCUGAGAGGAUGAUCAGCCACACUGGAACUGAGACACGGUCCAGACUCCUACGGGCGGCAGCAGUGGGGAAUAUUGGACAAUGGGCGCAAGCCUGAUACAGCCAUACCGCGUGGGUGAAGAAGGCCUUCGGGUUGUAAAGCCCUUUUGUUGGGAAAGAAAAGCAGCAGGUUAAUACCCCGCUGUUCUGACGGUACCCAAAGAAUAAGCACCGGCUAACUUCGUG